UACGUAGGGUGCAAGCGUUGUCCGGAAUUAUUGGGCGUAAAGAGCUCGUAGGCGGUCUGUCGCGUCGGCUGUGAAAACUCGGGGCUCAACCCCGAGCCUGCAGUCGAUACGGGCAGACUAGAGUCCGGCAGGGGAGACUGGAAUUCCUGGUGUAGCGGUGAAAUGCGCAGAUAUCAGGAGGAACACCGGUGGCGAAGGCGGGUCUCUGGGCCGGAACUGACGCUGAGACGCGAAAGCGUGGGGAGCGAACAGG
rnacentral:rRNA from 1 species